AAUGAACGUUGGCGGCGUGGAUUAGGCAUGCAAGUCGAACGGGCCGCAAGGCCAGUGGCGGAAGGGUGAGUAAGGCGACGGUAACCAACCCCGGAAAUGGGUAUAGCCGCGGGAAACUGCGGGUAAUCCCCAGCGACGUGCGGGAUCGGCAUCGAUCCGGCACCAAAGCUCCGGCGUUCCGGGACGGGCCGUCGUGGUAUUAGCUAGUUGGCGGGGUAACGGCCCACCAAGGCUGCGAUGCCUACCGGGCGUGCGAGCGUGGCCCGGCACACUGGGACUGGGACACUGCCCAGACUCCUACGGGGGGCUGCAGUCGAGAAGCUUCGGCAAUGGGCGCAAGCCUGACCGAGCGACGCCGCGUGGAGGACGAAGGCCUUCGGGUUGUAAACUCCUGUCGAGGGGGAGGAAGGCGCAAGCUUGACCGAUCCCUGGAGGAAGCACGGGCUAAGUUCGUGCCAGCAGCCGCCGUAACAC
rnacentral:rRNA from 1 species